rnacentral:rRNA from 1 species
UUUGGAAACAUAUGAGUGCCUCGCAAGAGGAGCCCGAUGACAGGUGCUGCAUGGCUGUCGUCAGCUCGUGCCGUGAGAUGUUGGGUUAAGUCCCGCAACGAGCGCAACCCUUGUCUUUAGUUGCCAUCAUUAAGUUGGGCACUCUAAAGAGACUGCCGGUGUCAAACCGGAGGAAGGCGGGGAUGACGUCAAGUCCUCAUGGCCUUUAUGUCCAGGGCUACACACGUACUACAAUGGCCGGUACAAAGGGCGGCGAGUCAGCGAUGACAAGCAAAUCCCGAAAAGCCGGUCUCAGUCCGGAUUGGAGUCUGCAACUCGGCUCCAUGAAGUUGGAAUCGCUAGUAAUCGUGGAUCAGCAUGCCACGGUGAAUACGUUCCCGGGCCUU